UUUCCUUAGGGUUUCUGGCUGCGUACCUCAAUCUCUCCCAUAAUCCAAAUUCCAUCUCCCAUAUAAUCCAAAUUUCAUCUCCUUUAAUUCGAUUUUCCCAUUGUUGCAUCAUCAGGUUCGAUUCUAAUUCCUUUCCAUCUCCUUCAAUUCAUUUCCAAUGAUGAAUUUGUUUCAUUUUCUUCCCAAUAAUUUGAUUCAUGCUUAUGUUUCUUCUUAAUUUUACCUAUUUUAAUAUAAGUUGUGUUUGAAUUUAAUAUGGUUAGUUAUAAUUUUACCUGUUAUGACUAUAUAUGAUUAUAUGUUAUCGAAAAAAGGAAAAAAAAAAAAGAAAAGAAGACGAAGCUCUCAAUUAUACGACUAUAUAUGACUAUAUAUGAUAUGAUUAUAUAUUUAAGAUCUUAUGUUGAUAAUUUUAAGAAAAUUCAUGUGUAUCUAGAUUCUAGACACUACAGUAGUAGACGGUGAUAUUGCAAUUGUUUCCUUGGCCUAUUUUAGAAACUUUAUUUCACUAUUUUGUAUUGAAUUUAAUAUGGUUAAUUAUAAUUUUAACUAUUUUGAUUAGUCAUAUAAUUAUAUGUCUAUAUCUGAACUAUAAAAUUAUAUGUUGUCUAUAUCUUAGUGUACUUAGCCUUUGGAGCAUUUACUAUUUUGUGAAUUGUAUAAUUAUACUGUGAAUUUGUACUCAAGACAACUUGUCCAAUACCACACUGCAGAAACUACACAAUAUUCAUUUUUUACUGUCAUUCAUGAGUGCCAUUCAUUUUGAAGUUUAGAAUUUUCUACAUACAGCUGUUUAUGAUUUUUGUUUUUUAACUUUAGAUAUGACUAUCGAUAAGGAAGUGAGUUCUAAUGCAACCUUUAAUGCUUUAAUAUCCACAUACGAAAAUCAGGUAAAAUUGCAUAAUAAGUUGUUUAUCUUAUUCGCUGCCUUGUUGGUAUUUCUUAAUUGAAAAUAACAUGUUAUUCAUCUUUUUAGCAGGCUGAAAAUACUCUAUCACAAAUGCCUACACCAGAACCACCCCAAACUAUUGAUUUGGACAAAGAUCAAGGUGACAAUGUUCAAAAGAAAAAGAAAAGGAAAGUCAGAGAAGCAGCUACAAAGAAUGUUUCUAAUGCUGAUGAUCCUAAUGCUGAAGAUCCAGGUAAAAGAAAACCUUGUAGACCUAAAUCUUGGGUUUGGGAUCAUUUUAUAAAAGAAAAGGGUCGGGCUAUGUGUAAGUGGUGUAAAAAUGCAUCUUAUGCUGCUGAUUCACACAAUAGUGGAACCUCCAAUUUAUCAACUCAUUUAAGAAAACAAUGUAAAAAAUUUCCCAAACAUCUUGAUCCUAACUAUGAUCCUAACCAAACCAUUCUUAGCCUUCAAGAUAGUAAAGGAACCAGUAGUAAUAGCACAAUUGUUGCUGUCCAUUUUGACGUUGAUGUGUCUAGACAAGCUUUAGCUAGAAUGAUAAUUGUGGAUGAGUUGCCUUUUUCAUUUGUUGAAAAUGAAGGAUUUCGUUAUUUUAUGAGUGUUACACAACCUAGACUCCCGCUUCCGGGAAGGCUUGCAAUUGCUAGGGACUGUUUGAACCUUUACACUAGUGAGAAACAUAAGCUAAGAAACAUGUUUACUAAAGCAAAUCAAAGUGUUUGUCUAACAACUGAUACAUGGACAUCUGUGCAAAAUAUUAAUUAUAUGGUUCUAACUGCACAUUUCAUUGAUCAAGAUUGGAAGAUGCAUAAAAGAAUUCUUAAUUUUUGUCCAAUCACAUCUCAUAAGGGGGAGGUAAUUGGAAAAAAGUUUGAGAAGUGUUUGGAGGGUUGGAUGAUAGAUAAGGUUUUCACCAUCACUGUUGAUAAUGCUAGUUCAAAUGAUCUUGCUAUCUCUUACCUGAAAAAUAGGAUGGAGGAUUGGAAUUCACAUCCUUUAAAAGGGGAGCAUUUACACGUUAGGUGUUGUGCCCACAUUCUUAACCUUGUUGUAGGUGAUGGGUUGAAGUCAAAGGACAUGCACUCUUCAAUUUCCAAAAUUAGGAAUGCGGUUCGAUAUGUUCGUGGGUCAGCUAGUCGUUUGGAUAGGUUUAAGAUAUGUAUUAAAGAAGCUAGGAUACAAGACAAGUCUACAGUGCAGUAUGAUUGUCCCACUAGGUGGAACUCCACCUACCUUAUGCUUGAAAGUGCAUUGAAGUUUCAAAAGGCAUUUAAGAGAUUAGGUGAGAAGUGUGUUGAGUAUGCGAUGUUGGAAGGUGGUGUUCCAAAUAACGUGGAUUGGGAUAAUGCUAAAUGUUUUGUGAAAUUUCUGAAGUUGUUUUUUGAAAUCACUAAGAAGGUGUCAGGUUCAACUUAUGUAACAUCUUCUACGUAUUUCAUGGAACAUUGUAAGAUAUUGGGUGGAUUCAAUGCUUGGAUGGGAUGUCACAAAGAUGACCCUAUACUUGCAAAUAUGGCUACCAAAAUGACAGCAAAAUAUAGCAAGUAUUGGGGGGACGUCGCGAAGAUGAAUAUGUUGGUCUUUAUUGCUGUAAUUUUUUAUCCUCGUCGUAAGUUCCAAUUUAUUAAUUGGGGAUUGAAUAAGUAUUAUGAAAAGGAAGUUGCUGAUUCUUUGUGUGAUAAGGUAAAGGAAGCUUUAAACAAAAUGUUUGAAAGCUAUAGUCGUUUCUCAAAUAAAGGCCAAGCAGAAAGUGUUUCACAAGAAAUAGAAGGUUCAUAAUUUGUUACAGAAGAUGUGGAUGAUCAAUUUGAGAAGGAUAUGGAUCAAGAUCCGAAUUUGAGUCAAACUGAAGUGGAUAUCUAUCUCUCAGAGCCUAGGGAGAAGAAAAAUCCUGAUUUUGACAUCUUGAAUUGGUGGAAGGUGAAUUCCACCAAAUACCCUACUCUUGGUCUAAUAGCUAGAGAUAUAUUGGCUAUGCCAAUAUCAACUGUUGCUUCGGAGUCUGCUUUUAGCACUGGGGGUAGAGUUCUUAGUUGUUAUAGGAGCUCUCUUACUUAUGUAAGUUGGAACCUUAAAAACAAUAAAUCUGACUAGCUCAAACUGAUUCAUACAAGGGAUUUUUAACCGAUUUUCAAUCAAUUCGAUCUAUUUUUUAUUUAUCGAUUCUGAAACCAGUUGGUAAUUUGAAUUUGAGAAACAAAAUACUAGUUCUCAAGCAACCAACCAAUCCAGUUUUUCACAUCUUAAAAAGCAUUUGUUGGCAACCUUGAAUUAACCAAAAGAAGAGAGAGCAACUAAGAAACACAAAAAAGAACGUUCUACAUUAUAUCAAUGUAUUGAAAACCUGUCUUAAAAAAAGUAUCGAAAACCCUCUAUAACAUUAAACUGCACUGUUGCAUGGGAAUUGAAUUGAUCAUGUUCAUCAAUUAAUACAUUGCUAAGACGGUGGUUGCAUUCAACUCAAAACCUCAACCCAAUUAAACACUAAGAAAUUCUAUAAGCCUUUAAACCGUGACUUCAUUCUUCUCAAAAUCUGGCAUUAACAAGUGACAUAAUCCACAGAUGACGCCAAUAACUUGAGCAGAAACCAAAAAAGUCAUCACAUAAAAAUCAACUUUCUCGAUUCAAUGACACCUGCACGCAUCAACACCACAAACGACAACUUUUAACAGAACAGAAUGCAAGAAGAAAUAUAGACUUAGGCCCUGUUUGGAUGAACAGCUUAAUUAAGCGUUUAUAGCAUACACACUUGUUUUUGUCUAUAAGCUAGUUCUAUAACAAAAUAAAAUAAAGUCAAACCGUUUUCAUAAACUAUCAUGGAAAACGUAUGGAAAUAAGCAAACAUCAAUUUAUGGAAAUAAGCUAAACCAACUUAUGGACAUGUCAUAAGCUGUUUCCGUAAGCUCUCCAAAACAAUUUGUCAAGUGCUUGAGCCAGCAGAUAAGCACAAAUAAAUAAGCUAAUCUAAAUAAGCCCUUAAAACAAUUUAAAUUACUAUUUUCUCCUUCAAUGUUGUGGCAGAGGAAAAAUAUGGUACAUAAUAUUUUUACCUGUUAUAUGCUACUUCGCUGGAAACUUGACUUCACAAUAACCUGCUGAGAUUCUUGAUAAGUAGUUUCAAAUUCUUUUUGGUACUUUCAUCACCAGUAAAACCCACCAUAUCAGAGGUAAUAUUCUGCAAACAUACAACCAAAAAAAAACAUGAGAAUUUUUUUUCUUCACAAUAAUUAGAUUUAAUCAGUUUUGAAAUUAGAGUCAAACCUCAAUGUUCUUCAAGGUAAAUAUAAGUGUGUGUAUGGACUUCUGGAUCAGCUCAGCGUUCUCAUUGGUCAUAAUCGUUGAAUGUGCCCUUCUGAAUACACAACGGGAAUAUUUCAAUUAGUUACCAUGUUUCAAGAGAGUUGAAUUAGUCAUCAUACUUAGAGAAUGAUCUAACUAUCAAUGUGAAAUACACAGAUUUUUGAAUCGGUUCAAUUCUCACAAGUUGCAUAUUAGGAUAAACAUAAUAGGUUAAUGAUUUUUCUCAUGCAGUGGAUGUAAUAAUAAGAGAACUUCAUGUGAAAUUUCAGUUUUAGGGUCUUCAACUGAACAGGUUACAAACGCGCAAAUCUUAUCACAUACGGAGACGUGCUUAUCAAUAUACGAAUGGCAACUGAUUUAAACUUAGGAUGAGGGCAUCUGUGUUCUCGAGCAGGCCACACAACCUCAUAUUUUUCCCAUUAAAUCUCUGACAAGUCUCCUCAAUCAUAAUUUAUAUCAAGAGGUUAUUGAGUUUGUCACAUCCCCUACACAAAGGACAAUGCGCUACAUAGCUACAUACAUGUAUGCAAUUAUGCAUGAUAGCCAAAUUAGUCGUACAGAGAAGCCAUUGGUGUUUAGGCAACUGACCUCAAAUCAUCAGAAGCUAGGGUAAGGCUUCGGGUCAAACUCUCAACUUCCUUCAAUAGGCCGCUAUCACGGACCUCGGCCAACAAAGGUUGAACAUCUAGAGCCAUGGCUUUCAUCUGAGGCAUCACUACAUCAAAACGAAAAUACGGGCAUGAGAAUGCAUCAUAUAGUAAAGGAAUAGAGAGAUGACACAUGACUACCAUAAAGCUGCAGACACAUAUUUAGACACCAUUAUCAUUUUUAAUAACUCAUUUUACGGCAUUAAUGAGCAUAAAAUUCUUAUUUCUAAGGCACUAAUGAACAAUCUUUUAUCAGUUUAACUCCUACCAAAGUCAAAGAUUAUGUCCAAGACAUCACCAAUAGAAGUUAGGGUAAGAGAGGCACAUGGAAGAAACUAUUUCUUCAUUCAUUACCAUGCAUUAAUCCAUUUUCUAUUGGCAUGAAAAUUGUCUGAAUCAACAAUACGAUCAAGAGAAUUAUUUCCACAUGCCAAGAACAGAAGUAAAGUAACAUCACACCUGUGUAAGAAGUGGUCUUGCUUCUUCCAUAACAGCAAAAACUCGUUCAGCCAAUGAGUAGCUGUUGACGAUACCAAUUCCCUCUACAUCUCGUCCAAGACGGGUAUAUAUUCCCACCAUUUCAUCCAAACUUACUCCUUGGUGACCCUUGAUCUUUUCUCUAUCGCACACAAUGAGACCUUCUUUAGCACAUUUUUCGUCAAGAGGACCAACUGAAGGUGUCGGAAUUGGAUCACGAGGAUUGAUGUCGAUUUUAGUUUCCAUCAAAAGACCUGACUGGUUAACCUCAACGAAUGAGUUCUUUGGUAUAAUUGUUUUAUCGUCUUCUAUCUGCAAAUUGAAAACUUACGUUUAAUAGAAUCCAAAAACUAAAAAUGAAAGUCAAACCAACGCAAGAUUAUUAUUAACACUUGGAUAUUAGAGCAUGGUUAUCAAAUCAAGAUUCUAACCGUGAAUCGAAUCUUAUUAUGAAGUGUAAGAUACAUUGUCAGUUUGUCAAGAAAAUAAAUGCUAUUUUUAAGUAAGAAACAAAAGACAUAACAAAAUUAUAUGUUGGUAUAUCAUAGUGAAUCGGGAUUCAUCGCAAUAAAUUGGGAUUCACAAUGGGAUUCAUGUCCAAAUAGAUACACACUAGAGAUUCGUAUUGAUUGGUUUCAAUUUAGCAUCAAUUGAGACACUAGUCACAUGUAUCAUAGGAUAUUUAUAACCAUGUAUUAGAGUCAUCAAUGAAAUUAUGGUACUGAAACAAACCUCGACAACUGCCUCAAUACUUUUCAAGGAAGGAUUAACGCGAAUGACAUUGCCAACAGUGACCCCUCUGAUUCUCACAGGUGUUCCGGUGCUUAUACCACAAGCUUGAGCAAACUCGAAAACUGCCGUGUACUUUCUGAAUUUGGAAUUUAUUUGGAAUGCUCUCAACCAAGCCAUACUGAGCACAAAUAGUAUCGUACCAGAUACCAAAAAUAGUCCAACCCCACCUUCCCAGACACUAUUACGACCGAACCCAAAAUCACUUAAUGGAACCAGUGUUUGCUUCCAAAUACGUCUAGGAAUGUCGAAUACAACUGAAAGUGGAUUCUUUGUUUCUGAACUAGAUGACUGUUUUUUGACAUUGCCUGUAUCAGAAGAUAUAGCUCUAAUCUUGUUGAUUUUAUUCCGAUUUCGAAUUGAAAGCGGCGCGAACUUUAAUGAGUUGCCUGGUAGAGAAAUCAGACAUGAAGAAACAGAAGUUGGCAACGAUGAGAGAUGGAUUGCAGGGUUGCCAACCAUCUUCAAACCAACCUCCUUGCUCAAAACUCAGAAGUUCUAUCUAUCAAGGAAAAAAAGUUUUGAUCUGCAGUAACUGCACAAUUGAACUAGAAAUCAAAAUCAUAUAAAUCUUAACCAGGAAUGAAUUCAUAAAAAUUGAAAAGGGGGACAAAAAGGUAAACCCAAAAUAACAUUAAUCAAUUAUUUAAUUCCAAAUAAUCUAAUAACAAAAGUAAUUUAACACAAAAAAGAAUUCAAGAAACAAACAACAACCAACCCUUAUCCCACUAAAUAGCGUCGACUACGUAGAUCAAAUUAAAUUACGUCAUAAUGUUCUAUCAUAAACCAUACUUCGAUCCAAAUUAAUCUCUAUAUCUUCUUAAUAGUUUCUCUUAUAGUUCUUCUAAGUCUUCAUCUAACUCUAGUGAUUCGAUUGCCCUCCAUCUGGUCUACCCUCCUUACUACAUAAUCAACAUUCAACAUACCCAAACCACCUAAGCCUAUUUUCCACUGUCUUUUCUACUAUAGCUGCUACCCCAACUUCCUCUCUAGUCUCUAAUGUCAUUUCUAAACCUAUCUCGUAUAGUCUUACCACACAUAAUUAGCCAAAAUAACAUGAAUCAACUAUUUAAUUCCAAAGAUUCUAAUAACACGAGUAAAAAGAUUACACAAGAUGAAUCCAUUAAACAAACCAAAUCCAUGAAGAUAGUCAUAAUAACAGGGUUAGGAUUAAAAAUUUCACCUUUUCCAUAAUGUGAACAUUAGUAUUAUAGCAGAAAUGAAAAAGGUAGCAAUUUGAGACCAAAUUAAUAGUGGGUUUGAGUUCUAAUUAUCACCCUAAUCAUGAUCCCAGGAAAAAUUAAAAUUGGGUUUCAUGUAAAAAUGCUGCAAUUUCAGAAUGAUGAAUAAGCAUAAAGGUAUGUAUGAUAUUGAAGGUAAUGAAAAUCAUGAAAAGUUGAUUAUUUUGGAUGAAUGAGUUUAGAAAGAAAAUUGAAGACCCAAUUAGAGAAAAGAAUGAAAUUGAAGUGUAGAAAAGAGUAGGAGUGUGAAAGAUACGUACUUUAGAGUGUUGAUGGAAGGGAGAGAGAGAAAUCUAAGAAGCAUGAAUCAUAGACAUCACCGAAUCGAAGAAAAACGUGCAGCAGACAAAAACGUUGUAGUUGUAGUUACUUUCGAAUAUUCUCAUUCGGAUUUGUUUUGUUGGAAUGGGAAAAAAAUAGUUUUGGUUUAAACCAACCUUUGACCUUCAACUUUGAGUAAGCUUGUCAUUUUGGUUCUCUAACUUUAAAAAUAACACUUUUGGUCCUUCAUCAUUGUAAGUGUUUAUAAACACUUUCUUUUUAACAUUUAUCCUCUUAUUAACUAAAAUUCAUGUGAGUCUUGCAUUUUAAAAAUGAAUUUGACAUAAAAUUGUGAGACUCAUAUUAGUUUUAUCUAACAAAAGGGUAAAUGUUUGAGAGUUUUACCUAAACGUAUCGGCCAAAAGUGUUAUUUUAAUAGUUAGGGGACCAAAUAUGAAAGUUUGUAAAAAUUGGGGGUCAAAAACGCGUUUAAGUCAAUAGUAUUUGACUAAAAUAAGAGAAUAAUUACAUAAGUACUUGAAUAUAUCGUUAAGUUUUAUCUCAAUUGACAACAAUAUCAAAAUUGUUAGACUGUGCGCUAUGAUCGGAGUUCGAACCUCACUCCUCCACUCAUCAAAAUUGUUAGACUGGGCGCUAUGAUCAGAGUUCGAACCUCACUCCUCUACUUAUGUGUUUUUCCAAUAGUUGUUGUUAUUUCGUAUUAAUCAAUUGAAAUAUAUAUUUAGUUUGCCUGUUUUACUCAAGAUAAAGUAUUAAUAGAAGAUAUAUUUUGGAGUGCUUAUAAGGUUCUUAUAUAUUCACAAAUGGAAAUAUUUUAUAUUGGAUUUAAUUCAUAUUCACUUUCUUGUGAAAGCUUUUUCCUUGUCAAUUUAUUGUAUUUAUCAUAUCAUUAAAAAUAUUUGAUUUUAAUCCGAACUAAUUCUAAAGUUACACAUGUGAUUGGCUGACAUAGAAAAUGUAUCAAACUUAAACUUUUACAAUUUUAAUUACCUUUAAAUAUUUUGUUGGAAAAAAAAAACUCAACCAUUACGUGUUUUUAUUAAAAUAUUAACGUGCUAUAUUUACUUUGUGUAAAAGAGGUAAUAAUUUUUAUCAUAGUCACUAAAUCAGUAAACCGGUGCUUAUAAAAAAAAUAGUCACUAAAUUGGCCCACCUUUAACAUUCUUCGCACCAAAGUCACCAAGCAAUGAUCACAAAUGUGUUUGACCACAAUACCGUCCAAAUAUUUUAACAUUAAUUUCUUUUUGUUCACAUAUUGCCAAUUUAUAAUGUGAAGAAUGGAGACUCCUUUAAGGAGUGGGAGAAGGUGGGUACUUAGGUAUAGGGUGGGGAAGAUGAAUGGUAUACGGCGGAAGGAGAAAAUUAAGUAAUACCGACACUUCAUAUUAAAGACGUGUCUGAGUGUGUGAUAUGAAAUUACCUAUAAUGGGUGUUUAUAUGACAACAGCCGGCCAUUAAUUUAAUUACUUUAGAUCUUGAGUCCCAUUUUUGUUUUUCAUUGUAUAUAUUUUGAUUGAGUAAUGUUAUUUAUCGCAACACAUUUUCUAACACUCUUUCAGAUGCGAAAUUCAGAAAGAUACAACUAAUUUCUAAAAGGAUUAGCACUUGUGCUACAAUUUUUAGCUAUACAACAUCACAGAUUAGAUUGCUCACACUUAGACCAGUAUCUUUCUCUCAAUCUUUCGUUUUUGUUUACAUCAUUUGCAAGUUUCUACAAUGAGUUUUACCAUUUUAUUAAUAACAUUAGCUCUAAUAUCCUUAUCACAACCGUCCAAGGUGAGAUUCAAACCAUGUCUCUUAUAAAGUUACAAUGUUAAGCUCUAACCGCUGAGUUGACACCUCUCGGACGUAAUGAGCUUUACCAUAUGAUAUUUCUUGUUAGAAAUUAGAAAGUGGCAGUCACCUCUCGGACGUAAUGAGCUUUACCAUAUGAUAUUUCUUGUUAGAAGUUAGAAAUUAGAAAGUGGCAGUAAAGGAAAAGAGACUAUUUUCAAAUGAAAAAUUAAUAAAUAAAUAUAUACAAUAUACAAAUUAUCUUAUAUAUAUAUAAUUGUUUCAUGAACAUUACAAUAACUCUUGGUUCUAAAAUUCUUACAUAAACUUCAUGCUUUACAAAAAAUAACAGCAUGCAAUACAAUAUAUAUAUCAGUAAUAUGUAAAUAUGUCCAAACAAACCUACAAGAAGAAAGCUGAAGAGGAAAUAACGAAUAAAUAAAUUGACUUCAGACAUUAAGAAUAUUAUACUUUGAUGAUGAUACUAAUAUAUUAAUAUCAUUUUGCUUCUUGCUUUUGCAUAUCAUCUUCUGUUUUCCAAACAACACCCUGCAAGCUUGUUGAAAGUUUUUUGUAGAACUGCAAAGGGUGAGGCAAAUGGUUUUCAAUUAGAUUUCAAAGUGAUGACAAGUGUCACGCGUACAAAUUCCGUUAUCAUGAUAUAUUAUGACUUAAUGAUUAUACACCAACAAUAUAAGUAAUGAAACAUGAUUGGUGGCUGUGUACAAUUUGUUUACACUGUCAAUGCAUAGUUCUCACAAUUCACACAUUAUCAUGACAUAGAAGUUAGAACAUUCAUUUUUGAAACGUGGGAGUCAGAAAAAAGAUUAAUUUUGAUGCAUUCUCAAGGUGAAACUUUUUACACCGCCAACCAAUUACAAAACAUCAUUUGUAGGACUUCUAAGGUGGAUAUGAUUUGAGUCGAAUAUUUUGGAAUGAUUAUAUUUACACUGUCAAAGCAUAUCAAAUAAGUUCAUCAGAAAAUGUAGAACAAUUAAACAAAAAAAGGGGUAGAAGGAAACCUUAUGGAACUCCAACGUAUCUCCUUUUGCUUUCCUUACUUCAACCAUGUGAAGAGAAGGUGCCACUUGAAAUACCUAUUUACAAUGACAACCUUAAUACAAGAAUAUGACAUAAAAGUGUACCACAUUACAAAAACACAAAAAUGAAGAUCAUAUACCUCUGUGGCAACAUUAAGGUUUCCUUUCCUUCCAGCUUUCGAAUUUGCAAGCCUCAUCUGCAGGUAAUGGUUUAUUAAUUUCAUAAAACAUCAUUGAAUCUUUUGUCUUUGUUCGACUAGAAGCCGAUAUUGAGUUGCAAAAGUAUGGCUUACCUUGAAAUUUUUCUUCUGCACAUCAAAGCCAAGAGGUUUAGCAGCUUCUUCAAUCUUGUUGAUUAUCUCGUCUGCAGGAGAUUGCGACGUGAACCUUGUUUCCCUUUUAAAUCCCUGCAUAAAGAAUAAAGCAACACAAAGUUAACUAGUUUUAAGAAAAACAAAAUGCUUGUUUAUAGAUUAAAAUGAAUAUGCAUGUUUUUCCUUGUAUUUGAAUUCUCCAUCUCUUUCUGAAAAGGCCAAACCGCUAGCUUAUAACAAAUAGGUUAUAGUGUUUAAGCUCGUAUGAUCAAAAUAGGGUUGUUUGGUAACGAUCUUCUCUCACAAGCUUAAAGCAUUUUUUCACUAACGGUGUUUUUUCAUAUUGUACUACAAGUAAUGUGUACCUUAUAGUGUAUCAUUUUUCUCUAUUUUUACCCUCGUUAUCUUUGUUUGAAAACUUUAAACAUUAAUUAAACAUAUAUUUUUUAUGUCAUUUGUAUUUAUCAAUUACAAACACUUCAAAUUCAACCGGCUUGCUUAUCCGUCAUCAUCUAUAAGCUAGCUUAUAUGCUAUAAGUUAUAAAUUCAUCUGCUAUCAGCUAGCUUAUUUAUCAUGUGGUACUUUUUUCCAAACAAAGCUUAAAUAUUCAUCACAAUCAUGGAAUAUCUCGGAAAGAAUCUUAUUAUGUAAACUUGCAAACCUGUUCUACAUCAAACAAAUUUUCAAGGUUCAGCCCUCUAGACAUGGAAAUCAACUCAAAUGCAUUCAUGGAUGUUGGCUGCUCUUCUUUCUUUUCUGUCACAUGGUGCUCCUGUGAAUAUAUAUAGACAAAAUCCUUUAUGAUACAAUGUUCCAGAACUAAAAUAAAAUCAAAUAUCAAAACCAUAUUUAAAAAAUCUUCAACGUACUUCCGAAUCUUUAAAGACAGCUUCUACAUCGUCGAGGUUGGUUUCCCCACUUUCCUCAAAAACUGGAGGCUUAUAAUCUUUCUUAAACCAUUCAUCAUCCAAAAUCUCAGCCAUGGUGAUACGCUGCCAUACAGUUGAGGAAGUCAGAUUCGCAGGCAAAAAUUUAACUAAUUUGUGUAAAAAUAAACAUGACAAUGUAGUUGAUUAGUUUUUUUUUCUCUUUAGCCUUUUGUUGGAGUAGGAUAUAAUCUAAAUGUGCUUCUAACACUUUAGGGUCUGUUUCGUUUAAGAAAACAUUUAAUGUUUUUAUUAAUUAUUUUCAUUCUAAAUUGCAAAGCUGCCCCUUAUUUUUACUCUAUCUUCUGUUUUCACUAUUACAAAUCUUUGAAAACCAGAAACAUAGUGAAAACAAGGGGAAAUUUUUCAAUCAAAAGUGAAAACAUAAAACGAAAAUAAAUAAAGUUUUCUUAAACCAAACUGGCCCAAAAAUAUCUAUUAGCAUGAUUUACAUAACCAUGGAAUCAAACCGAUGCAGACUACGUCGGCCAAACUAGACCUUAUAAUCGUUAGAUUACAACUACAUUGUUAAACAGCGGCUAUAGCAGCACUAUAGCAUGGCGUAAUUUGAAAAAGUCACUAUUGUUCUGUGAUACACUAUUUACUACAAAAUGUUGUCAAAUAGCGGUGCUAUAGCACUGUUGGGUAGCAAAAUUUGAACUAACCGCUAUUUUCUGAGAUCAACAAUCGAUAAUACAGGAUUACAAACAGCCAAUUUACAUGACAAGAAGCAGACAGAUAAUAAAAUGUUGUUUCUUACAGUCAUGGGAUUGGGAUCCAAGAUUCGAGUUAUCAAUUUCCUUGCACUGAAAGAAAGCCACGGGGGGCAAGUAAAGUCAGCAGACGAGAUCUGUGGAUCAAGAAACGAAAGUCAUAAAAUGAAAACAAUUCAAACAGUAAAAUUGGAGGGGGGAAAAAUGUUCAAAUGGUGCGCACUCACUUUUUUAUACAGUUCCAUAAGAUUAGGGUCAUCAAAAGGCAAGUAACCUGCAACCAAUACAAAGAGGAUCACUCCACAAGACCACAAGUCUGCAGUUGCCCCAUCAUAGCCUCUAUCAUUAAGAACCUAUAUAUAUAUAACAAGAAUAUAUAUAGUUAGAAAGUGAUUCAAUAUGAAUUUAGAAAUACACACGACAAAGUAACAUGAAAUAAUGCGGCGUUUGUCUUUACCUCUGGAGCAACAUAAUUUGGAGUUCCACAUGUAGUAUGGAGAAGUCCAUCAUCCUGUAAAGAAAAUCAUUUUGUAAGAUAUGAAUCAACCGGUUUGAUGCAUGAGAACUUCAUCGAGUAUAACAACCAAGAAAAGAAAAAUUCAGAAGGCAAUGGAUCAUGCUUACCCUAACUUGCUGGGAGAGUGCACUCAAUCCGAAAUCGGAGACUUUAAGGUUGCCAUAAGCAUCUAAUAGCAAAUUUUCUGGCUGCACAAAGUUCAUGAAUACCAAUGAAAUUUAUGUUAAGAGUUUUUUUUUAUAAUUAUAUCAAUACAUUGUUCUGGCAUCAGCAUAUAUGAAUGUCUGACAAAUGGCUCUUACCUUCAGAUCUCUGUGAUAGACACCUCUGCUAUGACAAUAAUCAACAACAUUUAUAAGCUGCUGGAAAUACCUACGCGCUUCAGGUUCACCCAUCCGUCCAUGGUUUACCUUCACAACAAAUACUCCAUUAGACACGUACAAUAUUUUCCCCCAUGCAGUUAAAGAUGGAAUUCAUGUAUUUUGAUCCAACGCAACAACAUUUAAAAAACCAACAGAUUGUGAUUGAAUAAGAAAAUAAGGCUCAUGAUUUGCGGACUCCAUAUGUCACCAAUUAAUCACCAUUUUGAACUGAUUGAAAAUGAAACAACAAGAUUUCAUUUACUCACAAUUUUGUCAAAAAGCUCCCCGCCAGUCACAAACUCCAAAACAAUAUAUAUUUUUGUCCUGCUUCCCAUGACCUGUAAACAAAAAUGUUUCAACGUUAGAAUCAGAAUUUGACAAAAUAAUAAACUGUGUUGAGAAUGAACUUGACUUCUCUUAUUGCAGAUUGACUUCCUAAUAAAGUAAAUUUUGUUUAGUUGGAAGGUAUGCACUAGUGAAAAUGCUAGAGGAUACGCAAACAAGACAACACUAUCAUCAAAUUUAGUAUCUGCAUGGUUAGUGAGAUUAAUGAAAAGAAAUGUCAUCAUGUCAGCAACCUCAUAUAGUCGAACAACAUUUGGAUGCUUGAUUAACUUCAUGGUAGCAAUUUCCCGCUUGAUCUGAAAAAACACAUUAAAACAUAUAAGAGACUUGACUUCAUCCUGUGAGGGUCUAAGUGUUUGUUUGAAAUGAACAAAAUUUGAUGGAAAUAAAAGAUCAUGCAUGAAAACUGAAUUUUGUUCCUUUGUUUUGAUGUACAUAAUAACGCAGAAAGAAUAAAUUUACAUUUACAUGUGGAAUCCACACUCAAAAUGGUUUCCACCCCCCCAAGGCGGAAGGAAUGAAAAAGUUGUACCCUGUAUUCUUUUAAUAGUUUACAGGAUUGGCAUAUCAAACAUUAAUAUUUAUGUCAUUUCACAUAUAUCUUCUCAUUUUAUAUACACAAAUACAAUAAACCAAGAGAAAAGAAAAGUUUUAACAUUCUUCACUCUUAAUUUCUAACCUGCCAAACAACUAAAAAAUCAUCUCAUAUUCUACUCUUAUUCUUUCCGUCUACAAUCAUUAUUUACACUUUCUUUCCGAAACCAAACAAAGUCUAAAGCAACUACAAAUAGUUAUGCAAAAGAAUAAUAUGCAUCUGAGUUCUGAUGUCUAAAACCUCCUAAUGAUAUGUUUAACAAAAGCUAGACUUUGUCAGAAAAUUACUUAGCAAGGAAGUUUUAAAUUGCGGUUGCCAUUGCAGUUAGAUCACAAUCAUUGAUAUUACAGAAAAGAGCAGACAAGUGCAGCUCAUACAGCAAACAAUUAUGUCAUAUAAAUGUAUGUUUUUCAAGAAUUAAAUGAAGCAAAAGGACUAAGGGAAUCUCCAAAAACCACCUGCUCAGCCAUCUUGUGCUUGAGAACUUUCUCUUUGUCAAGAAUCUUGAGAGCCACGGCUUCACCUGUCUCAGAGUUCCUUGCAAAUUUCACCUUUGCAAAUGUUCCCUCACCAAUGGUCCUUCCAACCUCAUAGAUACCGACUCUACGCUUAAUUUUAGGCUGACUCAUUCUCUACACCCUUUUAAGCUUUUCCGUAAACAGAAAUUCUCCUCGCUUAUUAGGAAUCUCUACCUGAAAUGCAUAUCAGAAUUCAGUUCCUAAACUAAUCCAAAACUUAAACACUGAACAGCAAUGUGUGUGUUUAGGAAAACAGUUUAAUUCAUGUAUUAAGCAAAUUAGCUAGUAAUUUCAAAUUUUAAGCAAAACAAUAAUUUGAGUCCAAGAUGCAAACUAUUUAAAACUAUUCCUUCCUUUAAAAGAAAUAAUCACUAGUUUGGUGUAAUCAGGUGCUAGUGUGAUUUCACCAAACUCGCCGCCAAUUCAGACAUGCUCUAAGUACUAGAAAAUUCUUAGAGAUCCAACAACUUUCAACCAGCAAUGCAGUUAGAGAGAUCUAAUUGAUGCUAGAUUUAAGUUGAAGAGAGAAAAAUGAACAAUUUUUGGUAUGAGAAAAAACUUCAAAGUCUAUCUUCUAGUAAAUAAUAAACCAGAAUUCAGCUUGAAUAUGAAACAUCCAGUCAAUUUCAACAUUACACACCAAAAAAUCACAAACUUUAGACACUAGAUUUGUAUGAAAACCAUCAAUGUUCAAAAAGGUCCUUAGUUCAAAGAUCAUUCAUCAUGAAUUACUCACAAACAUCAAACAUCAAUCACCAAAAAGGGUACUAAUGAGACCCACCCCACAAAAAAAAAGACUCUUCAAAUCAAAAAGACAAAAGGAAACCUCCAAAAAAUCCUAAAAAUUCAAUUUUUAAAAGGAUAAAAUUGAACUUUAUAGUAAAGUUGGAAAAAUCAACAUAAAAACAGCUCAGAAAACCAAUAUAUGAUCCAAAGGGUUGCUGAAAAAGAAAUAACAAACCAAACCAAUCUUUUUUUUUUUUUUUUUUCAAAUUCAAUAACCAAACAUGCUGCACAAGACAAUAAGCUAAUAAGCUAUAUAUACAAAACAUGAGAGAGAGAGAGAGAAUACUUUGAAGAGAUAAAUGAUAUGGCAGUGGAAGGAAUGAAGAGAAGGUUGAUGAAUAUGUGCAGACUGUGAAGAAGAGUAUAUGUUUGGCUUUUGAUUAUGGCCAAAGGGUAUAGUAUAAGAGAAUUUUGAGACAACAACUAACAAAACCAGACAAAAAAUCUUUGUGCCUAAUUUUGCAUUUUCAUCAAUGAAUUAUGGGAGAAAAAGCUACAACAGUUACACAUCAGUGCUUAUCUGGUUUUCAUAAAAUGUUUGUCUUAAAAAUAAAUAAAUAAAAUAUUUGUGGAAAAAAACAUUGACAGAUAGGAAAAUAUUUCUGAGGUUGUUGUUCUUAACAGUUCUGCAAAAUCAUAAUUGUUUUGUGGUCACAAAUGUUUCUGUACAUCUCUUACAAGCUAUAUUGUGACACUUCAAUACAAAAAUUUGAGUUAAAAUGGUGUGGUGCUGAAUUGAUUUGCAGUGAGAAUAUUAUUUUAUUUUUUGUCAUUUGUUUUAUAGUCUUUGAUUUUGACCAUUUUCUUUAUUAGGUUGCUUUGGUUCAAUGGUUUUUGACUUCUUGUUACUUGAUAUAGAAUUUAACCAUUGAUUAGAAUUAUCUUUUGGUUAUACACACUUUAAGAAUUUUUGUUGAUUUAUAUGUUAUUUUUAAAUUGAUAUCAACACUUAUCUAAAAGAAUUUUAUUUUUUAAAUAUAUUGAAUAACCGAUCUACAUCGUCCUUAUUACAUACUAGAUAUAUCAAUUAUUUAGUGAACUUAAAACAUAAUUUUUUAUUAUAUAGAGACUAGAGGGACUGAGGGAAUAUUAUUUUAUGAAAAGUAUAUUUUGACUUUUUUUUUUUUAUAGAAAAGGGAAAUAUUUUAACUAUUUAUGGUAGGUAAAAAAAAGGUGGAAUAAUAAUAAGGAGUCACGUGUAUCAUAAGUUCCUAAAAAUAAUAAAAGUAAUUUUUAGUCCUUGAAAGCAAUAAAGUGGAAAAAUUUAGUAUAUGUCUUUUUUACUUUAUUUAAAAAUUUAGUCCUUUUUUUUUUUGAGGGAAUUAAAAAUUUAGUCCUUAAAAGCAAUAAAGUAUGUUGUCACGGUACUAAAUAAUUAUCUUUUGUUUAAGUAUCUGUUCUAGAUAACAAGUAUCUCUGGUGACGGGUUCAUAAUUUUUUAACAGUGGAGGCAUCAUAUAUAAAAUUAUCUUAUACGAUUUUUUAUAUUACGUAAAUUUUGAAUGAUUUUUCAUUUUUAAUAUCAAUAAAAAUAUUUUUUUUUUUUACAUAAAUAACUAAACAAUCAUGUUAUAUCUCACAUAGUUUCACAUAUUCUUGAUAAUAUUCAUAUUAUCAAGAAAGAAUUUGAGAUAUGUGACCAAGAGAGAAAUAAUUUGUAAUAGGUAUGGGUUAUAUGAUAAAAAUGUUAACUAUUGGUACAUUAUACUACUAAAAAAAAGUGUUUCUAAAUUUUUUGUGUUGGCACAAGCCCACACAUGUGCCAACAUGCAUCCGUCCCUGCUCCAGUGGCGGAACCAGGGGGUGACAAGGGGGAGCCACAUCCACCCUAUCUUAAAAAUAAAAAGUAAAAAUUUAUACACUUAAAAUUACCAUAAUGUCCUUCAAUUAAUAUGAAAAUUACCAAUUAGUGCAUGUAUUAUUAGUUCCGAAUCAAUUAUUGAUGAUUCUAAGUCACUCGGAAAGUGUAAAGUGUUUAAAUUUUGAAUGAUCGAUUUUUGGUUUAUUACAACUUAAAUGUGUUGUAUGCAAUAUGAUUCAUAUAUUUUAGUUUAUUUUAAUGGCGGCCAUCUCAUACUUUAUUGUCUGACUCUGCCAUUAAGUGUUUCUUCUAAUGCACUAUUUAAGAGUUUCAAAUUUAAAAAUUAUGUAAGGAUUGAGGUUCGAACUUCAAACGCUCUACUUGUCAGCAUUUCUCUUUCUUUAUUCACCAAACAAAGUAUUACCAAGGUAUGGAUUAUGAUGUCUUUUUUCCUUUUCAAGAGUGAAACAUUUUUUUUUUUCUCAAGAACUACUAAAUUGAGUCGACUAAAAUAACUCUUCACUCUAAUUUUAAAAAUAAUUCAUUUUUUUAAUAACAAAUCAUAUUCAUUUUCUUAAAUUAUUAUUCUCAAAAACAUUCUUAUAUCGACAUAUCUUAUCUUAAAAUCAUUGUUAUUGGCACUCAUCAUGUUAUCACCAACAAAAUACAUCUUUAGUUUGACGAUAAAUUUAACAAAUUCACAAUAGUGUUAUAAUUUUGCCGAAACUUCAAAGUGUAGAUUUUACGAAAUUCAUGCCAAAAUAGUGUGAUUCGGUCAAUCUAGGUAAUAUGUGAAAAACUUUUUGGUUGGUUUGUGAAUUAAACAAUAACAAUGUAUGUGUAUAACUCAACUUCUUCUAUAUCAUCUCUCUUGAAAAAAUUGUUCGCAUCUCCUCUUUAUUUUGUUUUUUUGUCAAACCUUUUUCUGACCUCUAUCAAGUUUCUUCUAACAUUAAAAUCACAUCCUUUGGUAUUGUUUUCUCUCCAAAAAACAACGCAAUGUUUCCCUUGCCCAUCAUAACCAUUUCUUUUCUCUUCAUCAACAGCAAGAUAAGACAAUUGGUUUUUUAUUAAAGGUGAUUUAAUAUGUAACAUCCCUAGGGUAGGGCCAACCAUAACUUGAUUGGAACCUUAAAAGAUGAGUUUUAUUUAAGAGUUCGGCAUAAAGGUAAAUAAAGUUUGAUAUAAAAAAUUUCAUUAAAAAAUCAAAUGAAAACUAUCUAAUAGAUGCUACCCAAAACUUGAGUUUGGUCCAUCAACAAGUGUUUUCUAUAUAUUCGACCCCUGAUAGUUUGAUUAGGUUAAGGUGUCUUCGUUAUAGUUGUAAUUUGUUCAUAGUUUUCAUCUCAUUUUUGUUUGAAUUAAAUUGGACAUAUUGUGACAUGUUGGUAGGAUACAAAACAAAUCAAAAUGUAGCAACUUCAAUCAAACAAUUUAAUUUAAGUGGUUAGUGAACUCUAUCAAAGAACGAAUCAAGUAAAUAAUUUAUCUCAAAUAUUAAAGGAUGAUGUGGUUUAUCAUCGUUGAAGUUGUUCUAAAGACAACCUUAAGCUUAAGCUCAAAUUAUAGUCUAAUAGACAGUCAUGAAUUCCACCAUCAAUAAUACUUUAAAGUACCGUAUUUUUAUUGGUAGUGUGACUAGCAAUGCAUAAAAUACAGGGUUAUGCUAACCGGUAUCCUUAAGGCAAUGGUUAAGGAAAUUAAAAAAAGAAAGUUUUAAGUUGAAAAUACCACUUUUUAGACUUUUGAGGAGUUGAAUGCACAAGUUCCAAUGCGAGAUUACUAUAUUUGCUUCUUCCAUCCCUCAAAAAAAAAAAAAAAUAUUCUUCCAAUGUCUCCGUGAGCUUAGUUCAGUUGGUAAGGACAACGCAUAAUAUAUGCAAGGUCCGAAAUUUGAACCUCGGACACCACAAAAAAAAUAUUUCUCCAAUAAUAUCCUACUAGGAUUGUUUUCAUGUGGAUCUACAUGGAGAUGUCGUAGUUUAAAAAAAUCUAUUUAAAAGUCUAUUUAACCAAAAUGAACACACUACAAAACAUAAAAUAAAUUUCUUUUAGAAAUAUUAGGCCAGGCUGGUAAGUAAAUAUGAAUAACUUUUUAUUAUUAAUAUUAGUAAGUAUAUUAGGUUUUAUACUUUGGUUUAGAUCAUAAAUUUUUCUAACCUUUUAUGUAAUUUAAGUUUAUUAACCUAAAUUAAUUUUUCGUACAUUUAAAUUCAUUAUAAACUAUAAUUGUGAUAUGAUAUUAUAUGUAGUCAUAUUUUCAUUUAUGCGUUCUCGCGAGCUUAACUCAGUUGAUAAACACAAAUGAACAAUGCAUUGAUGCAUAUUAAAAUUGAGUUUUGUAUUGGUAUAUCAGCUCUAUGUGUCUUGGAUGUGACUCUGAAACAAAAAAACAUUAUACUUUUGGAGAAUCAGUUUCUUUUUUUCUUUUAAGGGGUGUGCUGGUGCAUCAUCAAUUUGAAUCAAUAAUUUUCCACUUUACAUUACAUAGUUAAUAGUGUGUGUGAAUUUUUUGUUGCUAAGCUAUUAAAAAAAAAAAAAUCAUUCAAGACAAGUUUCAUAGUUAAAAAAAAAGACAGGUUUAAUAGUUAAUUGCCGUGAUGCAUUGUUAUUCCAAAUUCCAAUAUGUCGACACAGAUCUUUCAUGCCUUCUAAACGUACCAUCUAUUUCUAUCACAUGCCAAAGUAUUUUUUUAUAUUUCAAAUAAUACGACAAAAAUAAUUAUGAUUAAAAAACAACAAAUGAUUCGAUGCGACUGUUAGAAAAUCCAAUGCAAGUACUAAACAAAAAUAAUAAGAUGACUUCUGGUGUACACUCAUAAAUUAAGGUGUAUCGGUACUCCUGUUUUUUAAAUUUAUACACUACAGUCAAUUUUAUGAAAUAAAUAGUUAUUUGUCGGCACUUAUAUCUCAGAAAAACACAUCAUUCAUUGUUUAUAAGAAUCAUAAUAAGUUUUUUUUACAUAUUAUCGUAUAAAAUAAUCAAAGUUCUCUAUUACGAGCGAUAAAAAUUCAAAAAAAAAAUCAAUUUUAAUUCAUUGAUGCUUUUGGUGAAUACGAUUUUAAUCAUUAUAAUUAUAAAUGAUAAAAAAUAAUAUUUUUGUUCAAAAAAUAACUCAUUUAACUAUAAAUUUAAGAGUUUGGUGUACCAGUACACUCAAAUAUGUUAGGUGUACCGUAUAAUUUUCCAAAUAAUAAAUGUUUAAGUAAUUUUAAAUGAGACUUGUGUUUCAGGACAUUUUUUAAUGAUAGUUUUUUUUUUUUAUAAGCAUUUCUUCAUGAUAGCUUAAUAUAUACAACCUACAACUUGGAUAAAAAAUAAUUUAACCACACUAUCUCUUUUUUAUUCUGAAAAUGAGUAUUCAGCAUAUAUAAAUAUUUCUCGUAUAAUUGUGGUUGAUUAAGAUGUUUUUAAUUGAGCACUAAUAAAGAAGAGAUGUUUAAAUUAAAUUGAGCACCUAGAGUAUUAAAAAAACACGUCAAAUCAAGCACAAUAUUAGUGUUGGAAUGGUGUGAAAAGUGCAAGACUGGUUUCUGUCACCAAAUAGACAUUAAAUUAGUAUAAAUAAUUCAAAUAGGGUGUUUCGAUUUAAAAUACAAACAGAAAACUGAAAGAGACCAUAGAUAAAAUAAUGAAGAGAGUAAUUUAUAAAGAGAAACAAGAAAAAAAAAUUGUUUAAGCGCUUCUUUAAAAAAUAACAUUGAAGACGAAAGAAAUUAUUAGUAUUAAUUAAAACGACUCUAAUGAUUAGAGCUGUCAAAACGGGCGGCCCGACCCGUUUAGGCCCGGCCCGGCCGGGCCAAGGGCUUUUAAGGGUCGGGCUAAAAAGCCCGGUUUGAAUAUGGGCUGCAAAAAAUGAGCCCGAGCCCGGCCCUAUACGGGCUCCCUGGCUAACGGGCCAGCCCUGGCCCGUAUUUUUUCUUCCCUUUUUCAUUCUUUUAAGUACGGAACAUACAUAAAUAUGUCGGGCUAACGGGCCAGCCCGGGCCCGUAUCAGUCUCUCACACACACAGACCACAAAAAAAAAAAAAAGUUGUAUUUUUUGCGGGCUUCCGGGCAGCCCGGAGCCCGGACGGGCUAGCCCUAACGGGCCAAGGGCUUUUACGGGCCGGGCUAAAAAGCCCUCUUCAAUUUCGGGCUCCAAUUAUUCGGCCCAAGCCCUACAUUUUAUUCGGGCUUUCGGGCCGGCCCUUACGACCCGGCCCAUUUUGACAGCUCUACUAAUGAUCAUUUUUCUAAAACAUCAUGAUUUUAUAAUUUGAAAGAGUAAUUCAAAUGAACAUUUGAAAUAAUAAUCUUAAAUGCUUAAUAAAAAUAAAAAGAGUGUUUUCACGAACAUAACUUAGUUGGCAGACUCGGGUGUUGCUAGCAGCUUGCAAGAUGCAGGAGGGUCGCAUGUGCUUUCUUCUGCUAGGCAGUGGGCAAAAUCGCAUCAUGGAAGACUUAAGUACAAUAUAGAUGCGGCGUUUUCGGAAGUUUUAAAUCGUGUUGGUGUUGGGUUAUGCAUCCGGAAUGCUGCUGGAAACUUCAUUAAGGCAAAGACAUUGUGGACUAAUCCCAUAUGUGCACCGGAGAUAGGGGAAGCGUUGGGUCUGCUACCAACAAUUCAUUGGAUACAUGAGCUACAACUUUCAAAUGUAGAUUUGAGAUGGAUGCAAAGAAAGGUGUUGAUUAUUUUCGAGUUUGGAGCAAUAGUGGACGAAUGUAAAAGAUGUUGUAAUGUUUAUUUCGAAAAUUCUAAGGUGGAAUUUAGUCGGAGACAAGUGAGUGAAGUCCCUCAUACUCUUGUCAGAGAGGCCUUGUUCUCCCUAUAAAAAAAAUAACUUAGUUGAGAGAGACUUCCAAUAUACGAAGUUUGAACCUCAAACUUCUCAAUUAUUCACUUUAAAAGAGUGAAUUUCUUACACUUUUAAAAUAGGUCUCACAUUAAGUGUGUAGAUUGCAUGUAUAUAGAUACAAUGUUUUUGUAUCUUAUAAUAAUAAUAAUAAUUUUUUUUUUGAAGAAAUCAAAAUGAAAUUAUAUAACACCAAACAGCAAUACCCAAGCACAAGGUGUGCCUAGAAUACCACUAAAAUACAAGAGUUUAAGUAACAACAAACAGAGGUUUACACUAGGUAGUCAACCCCAAACAAGCAAAAGGGUCGGACCACCAUCUCUGCGUACCAUAAGCAAACACAACUUUUUUAGCUUUCAUCCACCCCAAAGAUAACAAUUUAACCUUAUCUAACAAUUGAGGGACAGUAUUAAAAGAAUUAUUGAAAAGACGGUUGUUACGCUCACUCCACAAAACCCAAGCACACAAAAGCCAAAUAAGCUCCAAGAAUGAUCUUUUUGCUUUAGCAAACCCUGCCAAAUGAGUAAACUGCACAAGAUGGUCUGAAAUGAUGUUAGGGUCCACUCCUGAAAAACCAAUCCAAUCACGCACAUGCUGCCACAAAGAUGCAAAUGUAGUACAAGAUAAAAAUAAAUGACUGGUUGUCUCCACGUGACCACAACCAGAAACACAUAAGAUAUCAUCCGCGGGGACAACCCCACGAAUCGCCAGAUUAGCUUUCGUUGGUAAUCGAUCUCGAAUAAGCCGCCACGCAAAAACUGAAACCUUCAAAGGAACCUGAGGAUGCCACACUAAAUCAAAAGGUAAUCCCAUCUGCGAAUCACCCCCAGACGUCAACAAAUCAUAGGCACCUCUCACAGAGUACCCCUCUGCAGUAUCUGGAAGCCACUCCCAAAAAUCUGAAACAUUAGGAACCAAACAGAUAUCAAAUAGUAACGCCCUACACUCCUCUAGUAAAAGCUCCUCCCAAGCCCACAAACUACGCCUCCACCUCCACCCCUCCCCAUCCUGCUCCAUACCCAAAGAGAACAAAGAGGCCACCGUAAUGGUUUUAUUCUCUGCUAAGUCAAACAAGCGGGGAAACCGCACACAAAGCGGAGUACCUCCAAUCCAUCUAUGCAACCAGAACAACGUCGUCGUACCAUCUCCCACCCUCCGUCUAAUACUAUCACCGAACCACCCUCCACCUGUGUCACCAACGCCAUCACGAAUCCUACCUACCUCCCGCCACCACAAGGAAACACUCCGGCCCCCCACCUCCAACCUCCCACCUACUUCGCCAUAACGGGCGACUAAAAUCUGAUACCACAACUCUUCUCUAUCAACUAACAUCCUCCAACACCAUUUACCUAGUAAAGCAAUAUUAAACUCCUUCAAUCUCCUAACCCCCAAACCUCCAAACUCCUUUUUAGAACAUAAAGAAUCCCAACCUAUCCAAGUAAUUUUUCUACAAUCCUCACUCCCACCCCAGAAAAAAUUAUUCAAUAAAGAUUCAAUGGAAGAGAUUAUACCUGUUGGAGCUUUGAAGAAAGAAAGAGCAUAGACAGGCAGAGAUGUCAGAACUGAUUUUAGGAGAGUCAAACGACCACCAAAAAGAGAGAAACCUACUAUUCCAACCCGACAGUCUAGAUUUAAUGCGAUUAACGAUCGGUUCCCAAAACUGAAGUCUCCGCGGAUUACCACCUAUAGGCAGACCUAGGUACAAAAAAGGAAUUUUACCCACUUUACAACUCAACACCGCCGCUGCCUCAAACAACCAUGAAUCAGAAAUAUUAAUACCCACCAACAAGCUUUUAUUAAAAUUUACUUUCAAUCCAGACAAAGAUUCAAAUAAAACAAGAACAGCUCGAAGUGCCCUCACAUUAGCCCAACUUUUUUCUCCUAAUAAAAGAGUAUCAUCCGCAAAUUGAAGAUGCGUCACCUCGACCUGAUUAAGCGAACCAACCAAAAACCCCUUAAAAAAUUAUUCUCGACCAUAGCUUUCAUCAAAAUAUUGAGUCCUUCAGCCGCUAGCAAAAACAAAAAGGGGGACAGAGGAUCCCCCUGACGUAAACCUCUCUGAAAAUGAAACUCAUCAGUAGGGCUGCCAUUAACAAGAACAGCAGUAGUGGCAGUACUCACACACUCACAAAUCCACUUCCGCCACAAAACCGGAAAAGACAUGCCUUUCAUAAUCGAAUCCAAGUAGUCCCAAUCAAUAGAAUCAUAGGCUUUUUCGAAAUCCACUAUAAAUAACAUAAGCUCCUUCUUAGACUUGCGUGCCUCAUCAACAACCUCGUUAGCAAUAAGGAUUCCGUCCAGAAUUUGGCGAUUUUUAACAAAAGCAGACUGAGUCUCCGCCACCACACUACUCAUCACCAACCUCAAUCUGUUAGCUAGCAAUUUUGCUAAAAUUUUAUACAUACUUCCCACCAAGGAUAUCGGUUGAAAAUCGUUUAACCUCUGAGGAUUAUCCACCUUCGGAAUAAGAACGAUGAAAGUAGCAUUAAUACCUUUAGCCAGCUUACCAUUUCUAUGAAACUCAGAAACGAACCUCAUCACAUCAACUUUCAGCUCAUUCCAAAAUUCUUUUAUAAAACCAAAAUUGACUCCAUCCGGACCUGGACUUUUAAAGCUAUCACAAUCCCAAAUAGCCUCCUUAACUUCCCCCUCGGAAAAAGGUUUAAUAAGACUACCUCCCUCCCCCACCGACAAAGUCCGGAACUGGAGAUUAGAAAUACUAGGUCUCUCCACAUCCUGCGCCUUAAAAUGCUGCGAAAAAUGAUUGAACACCGCCUGUCUAACCGGAUGAACCCCUUCAAUCCUCUCACCGUUAACCAGCACAGAGAUAAUAGCGUUACGUCGUCGACGCGAAGACAAAAUAGAAUGAAAAUAUUUAGAAUUUGCAUCGCCUUCACUAAGCCAUUGAUUCCUCGAUUGUUGCCAACAUAUACUAGUAUUCAACCUAGCCAAGGAAUGCAGAUUAGUCGAAACAUCAUGCAACUCUUUACAGUCGUCAUCAGACAUCACGUCAAAUUCUCCUCUACCAUCUAGAACCGCCAAUCUCUCUUUCAAUGCUGCGAUUUUCGCUGGUAAAUUUUGCGCGUGCGACACAUGCCAAUUUUUCAAAGCCAGUUUGAUCAAUUUGAACUUUUCUUUUAACACAUACCCGCCCCACCCCUCCACUUGAAAAGAACUCCACGUAAUCCUCACAAAUUCCUUAUAACCUGGAUUGUCGGACCAGCAUUUAAGAAAGCGAGACGGACGCGGUCCCUAGUUUUCUUCAUCCACCGAAAGAAUCAAAGGACAGUGGUCAGAUAAUCCUCUCAGGUGAGCAACUUGAAUACAAUAAUAAUAAUAAUAAUAAUAAUAAUAAUAAUAAUAAUAAUAAUAAUAAUAAUAAUAAAAUAAUAAUAGUAAUAAUAAUAAUAAUUCCUUCAAAAUAAUAAUAAUAAUAACAAUAAAACAAACUUGCACGAAAAUGUGGAGCCCUGCCGUGCCAUAUUAAUAUUCUUCACAGCCACAGUUCCAUUUAUGUAUCAUUUGAUUUGAUUAGAAAGUCACUUUAUUUAUUGGAUAUGCUUUGAAUAUCCUUUUUUCGAAGAAGCUAAAAUUGCUUUGAAUAUCCUUAAGAUUGAUACUUGGUGUUUUAAGUUAAAGGAUUUUUGUUUAACACCAAUUGCUUAAAGGAGUCUAACUCGAAAAUUUUAUAUUUAACGUGGACUUUAUGAAAUGAAGAAAAUUUAUAAACAGAAUAAAGAUUGGAGUGAAGAUUUUGUCAAAAAAAAAAAUUGGAGUGAAGAUACUUUGGGGGAACAAUGUGAUUCAAGUACCACCUCCAACGUCUCUCUCAUGUUCAAGGUGCCAUGUAAUUUAAUAUUGUGCAGUCCAUUCAAAUGAUGAAUAAGACCGUGGCUGAUUAAGAAUUUUACAAAACCUUUUUUUACAAAAUAUACAAUUUUAUGAACAAAGCCCUUUAAAAUGGUCUAUAAUAGUUAGGGCAAUGUUUAUUUUUCAAGAUAUGAGGUAUUUUGUAUCAAUGGGAGUUUACAAAUUAAAAAGAUAAUGGAUUAAAAUUAGUACCAACUUAUUCUAUUUUAUUUAUUACAAUUUUUUUUUGGGAAAGCGAAGAAAAUAUAUUAAAUGAACAAAAAUUGUUCCUCUAAUACAAGACGUACCAGAGAAACAAAGAGUCAAAGUAUGUUACAACACAAAACUACUACAAGCACAACAACAAAGAAAACUUAGGAAAUUGCUUUUAAACACAUUAAAGAAUUUAGCAUCCAAGUAAUUGAAAUCAAACAAUACAUAACACGCUUUUAACCACCAAUAAGAAUGAGUUUUGACCUUUUCGAGUAAAGAUGUGAGAAGAUCAGUCUUUUAAUUAAAGAUCCUCCCAUUUCGAUCCUUCCAAAUAAUAUACGGUACUGAUAUCCAGGUAAUAUUGAAAGUCAAAUGAGAGUUUUUUGAAAAUCCACUAACCCCUUAAAUUGGAGAAGACGAUCAGAUAAAUUCCCAUGAGAAGUCAAUGCAAAACCUAACCGGUCUGAAGUAUAAUUCUAAAGGCGACCAUAACAGUCGCAUUUGAAAAACAAACGAUCUAUGUCUUCCAAACAUCCACAAUUAAUCGAGCAAUGAAUAUUUAAUGCAAUAAUACAUUUCUCCAAAAUAAAUUGUUCUUUGUUACAAUCUGAUUUAAUAAUAUGCACCAAAUAAAAAUGUUAACCUUAGUCCCGUGAGCAUAGCUCAGUUGACAGGGACAUACAUUGUGAUAUGCAGGGGCCGGAAUUCGAACCUCAGACACCCCAUUUAUUCUCCUUGAAAAAUGUGAAUUCUAGCAACUAGAUUACUAGAAAAAAAAUUAAAAAAUUGUUAACCUUAAAAUGAAUGACCUUAACCCACCAAUAGAGUCUUUUCACAUUUUAUUCCGAUUGAACAUCUAAUAUGAGGCUUCCAACAUAAUUACUCCCUCCGGUCCUAUUUAUAAGAGAAUUAUCUAUUUAAAAAUUCAGUCCAAAUACAUUCACUUUUAUUGACCUAAAUUUAUCUUAUAAAUAGGAUCGGAGGAAGUAUGUAUUUAAAGCGCAAUAAGGGGGAGCAAAGCAUCAUUCGCUUCAUCUAGUCACUUCCACUUCCACUUAACCACCGACAAAAAAUAUUGAUAUAUACACUACGUACCUUUUUAUACAAACAGACGAAUAUGUCCUCAAACUAAAAUGAUCAAGUUAAAAAUGAAAUAAAGGGUCUCGUGAAUACAAUAAGAGAACCGCUAAUGAGUUUUCUACGUGCACUUUUAAAAUUUUACUUCCUCCGUUUUAAAACGAAUGUUAUUUAAGGUUUUUACACAUAUUAUAAAAUAAAUUAAUUAAAAGAAAGAGAAAUGUUAUUUUACUAAAUUAUCCUAAUUAACUAUUGUUUUAUUUUUUAUUAAAGAAAAAAUAAUACUUUAAAAGUAGUAUAUAAAGUAUUAAUUUAUGGGUAUAAUUGAAAAGGAAAAGUUAUUAUUGCAUUGAAAAUUGAAAGUGACAUUCAUUUUGAAACAUUUUUUCAGUUAAAAACGACAUUCAUUUUAAAACGGAGGAAGUAUAAAGUAAGUUUUUAUCGAAAUUCCUACCUUUAAUAAUUUGAUACUACCUUCGGUCAUAUUUAUAAGAAAAUUUUAACUUUUUAGAUUAACUGAAAAAUUGAUGUAUCUUAUCUAAAAUAUAGACUAAAUAUAUCGUUUAUGCAAUGAAUAAAAAAGUUAAAUAGGAUUGGAGGGAGUAGUAUAUUGGAGUGUUGGUGAGGUCGAACUUGCCUCGAUUUGAACACUUAUCAAAUCUUGGUUUCAUGGUUACUCUCUAUAGAACAUGAAAAAUAAAGAGAUAGGAUAAGAGGAAUAGCUUGUAUAAUGAGUAGGGACAUAUAGGGAGUAGAACAAAUUGUCCUUGUUGUUCUGUUGUUAGCUGCAAAAUUUGACACGUAAUUACUAUAGCCCCAAAUAACCACGCUGGCAAAUCCCACGAGAAAGGCAAAUCCCGAUAGUGUAUAGACAUUGGAUAUAUUCUCAUUUUGAAUAUCAUGACAUUAUCAAUGGAUGAAUGACUCUAUGGUUUGUUGUCCACUUGAGCUAGCUAGCUACAAAUUGUAUGGCCCUACACAUGUGCAGCAACUUAAUACCCAUAUCACAAUCAUGUCACCUCAUCGAUCCAUGAGAAGAAUCAGCGCUGAAAAAGAUGGAUUUGCUUGCUUACAAAUUUUUACAGAUUAGGUAAAAAUAAGAGAAAUAAUCCUUUUUAUCCGGCGUUAACUUGGAACUGCGUACAUCCAAAGCACAUUUUACUAAGAUCAAUGUACUUGUGAUAGUUGAACAACCAUUAUGAUAAUUUUUGUGAUAAUUUUCUCUCUCAUACUCACAUCAUGUUACUCCAUCCGUUCCUUUUUAAGUGUUACUUUUGGAGAAAAUUUUUGUUCCUAUUUAACUGUCACUUUCAAAGUUCAAUGCAACAUUAAAUGUUGUUUUACCAAUAUUCCUUAGUUAUUAAUUGCGAAGAGAGAAAUAUAUGAAAUGAGAUAUUAAAUGAAUAAAGUCAUUAUAGUAAAAGUAUAGUUUAUUGCAUCAAAAUUAGUAUCAAUUGUUGAUUGUCUUGGUUUGUGUAAAAUGUCAAAUUGUGACAAUUAAAAAGGAACGAAGGUAGUAUCAUUUUCUUUCUCUAUUGCUUUGGUUUUUGUGCCAUGACCUACAUUUUUUUUUUUGUAUAUUUUGGUUGUCCCACAAGUUGUCACAUAAAAUGGUUGUUCAAAUAAUAUUCCUCUAAAAAUAAGUGGCUCAUUUUAUCAAGAGCAUGGGCAAAAUAUAAGCUACACAACUAUAGUAAAAAACGGUGUUUCUUCCAAAGAGAGGAAGUAGUGGAUCAAUCCCAAUUCUCAAGUUCUCGAAAGAAAAGCACAGGGCCAUUACUUUUUCCACCAUAUGACCUUCUCGCACGCCCUAUGCAAAUCACCAAAAUGCCCUUCAGAUUUUAUAAUCCAGAACAUUUAUGCGUAUUCCGGAAUUUAUAUUCCGGACAACUGCGAAGUAUAAAAGAGACUUCACCCCCCAUUUUUACAGUUUUACAGUUCCACAUUCAACAUUCACUCUCUCUCUACAUUAUCCCAAAAUCCGAACACCACAAAUCUUGUCCAAAUUUGGAGUUUUGUUGCUCAAAAGCACCGCAUUUCAACCCUUGUCAACCAGCAUGGAAGGUUAAUUCGAUUUAUGUACAUUUGCAUGGUUAAUUUGGUAGUUUUAUUUUUGGAAUUCUGGUCGGGUGCAAUCCGGAUUUCACUUUCCAGACUGGAUUGUUGAUGUCUGGAAUUUGAAAUCCGGACGAACCCAAAAUGUUUUUUUUUGCUUCUGUUAUGUGCUGUUUGAUUUCCCUAAUUUGAACCCAAAAUGUUUUUUUUGCUCCUAUCUAAUACUCGGCGCGUAAGGGAGGCAGGGCAUGCAUCCCGUAGGAAAGCGCGUAGCCAACGGCUAGAGGAUGAAGGUGGUGUUCCUCCGAGGCGUCGGGGUGCUAGAGGGCGUUGUGCUGAUGUCGAGCCUAGUGUCGACCAUCAGCCGGAGCAGCAAGAGUAUAUGGACUUGCAGCAAGAGCAGCCUGAUGUGGGCUUGCAGCACAUGGAGGAGCAGGAGCUUGAGGAGGAGUUGCAUGCUAUGGACGUGGAAAUGGAAGAUGCAGAGCCACGAAAAAGGCAAAAGAAGGAGAAGGUGGUGGACCCUGAGCCACUAGAUGACUAUCCUGGUGGGCCACACGAGACUGGCCUCCUAUGGAAGUACCAUGUGCACGUAGCCAGGAAGGCGGCUGAUGGCGAGAUAUUUAUUAAUGUUAAACUCACUUAAUUAAUGUUAAUCUGUGUGAAAAUAAUGUUGAUAUUUGUGAAACUUCCUGUUUAUGUAAUGUGAAAUUUGUUUGUGAAGCCAUAAGUUUAAACUCACUUUGUUAAUUUUAAUUAUUUGCAGUGGAGUGGAAAAUUAAAAUGCAUCAACAAUGGAAAGAAGAUAGAAGAGAUGCAUGAUGAUGACACAA
rnacentral:lncRNA from 1 species